UUUCCGUAUGUGAACCUGCGGAAGGAUCAUUAACACGCUCCAAAACCUAAUCAACCAACCUGAGAACUUGUAAACGCUUCUCUGAUUAGCCUAUAGUUCAUUCUACGCUAAUGAUUGAAGCUGAUCUCGACUUUAUGGCAUUGGCGUAUUUGCCCGUAGUGGUUGUGCGUCCAAUCCGUACUGUUGUUGAUCAUGCUCUUUUUUGAACGCCCUUCAUCAGCUGCUGCUCGCCAGCUAAUAAUCUGACGAAUCAUAUUAUUUCAACUUCUACCAGAUGCAGGUUGUGUCGAUCAGCUGAUUUUUCUAAUCAGCCCGACUACUGCUAUGGUUGUAUAUCUAUAUAAAAAUAUAAGAACAACUCUUAGCAAUGGAUAUCUUGGUUCUC
rnacentral:misc_RNA from 1 species